CCUACGGGUGGCAGCAGUGGGGAAUAUUGGACAAUGGGCGAAAGCCUGAUCCAGCCAUGCCGCGUGUGUGAAGAAGGCCUUCGGGUUGUAAAGCACUUUCAGUGGGGAAGAAAGCCUUGGGGCUAAUACCCUCGAGGAAGGACAUCACCCACAGAAGAAGCACCGGCUAACUCCGUGCCAGCAGCCGCGGUAAUACGGAGGGUGCGAGCGUUAAUCGGAAUUACUGGGCGUAAAGCGCGCGUAGGCGGUCUGAUAAGCCGGUUGUGAAAGCCCCGGGCUCAACCUGGGAUCGGCAUCCGGAACUGUCAGGCUAGAGUGCGGGAGAGGGAGGUAGAAUUCCCGGUGUAGCGGUGAAAUGCGUAGAGAUCGGGAGGAAUAACAGUGGCGAAGGCGGCCUUCUGGACUGACACUGACGCUGAGGUGCGAAAGCGUGGGUAGCAAACAGGAUUAGAUACCCUUGUAGUC
rnacentral:rRNA from 1 species